CAAUGAAAAAAGAUGCUAAAUCCAUAGCAGGAUACUAAGUCUUUAGCAGGAUGAAUGAGAAUUCUGACCUUUUAGGAUUAAAGGUUUUGGUUACUCUACCCAGUUUCGACAGAUUUGGAAGAUAUAUGGCAAAUAUAAAUUAUGAACUAGUAAACCAUUAUAAGCACUAAAACUAGUAGCUUUGAAUAUUUUCUAUUUGCUUCUUAUAUGAAAGAUUUUAUUCCUAUACACUAAUCAUUUUCCAUUUUUUAUUUUAUAUAUACAUUAUUAGAAAUUAGCAUUAUAACUUAGCCUUUAGGUGACAGAAUUAUUCAAUGGGACUGAGACUGAAUUUGGGGAGUAGGUAAUAUAGCCAGGAAUGCAUAUAAUGACUGUUGGAACUGUGCAUCUUUGUUACUGUUAGGAAAAAUUGAAAAUUUCUUCCUUUGAAGAAUAGCUUUAUAAUUUAAAAUUACAUUGUUUUAUUGUUGUAUGAGAAUUCAAAAUGUAUAUAAAAGGGUCUAUAUGGAAGUUGAGUAGUCAAAGGUGUGAGUCUUGCUGAUAAUCAACUUAUUGUGACUCAGUUACCAAUUCAUGCUUUUUGGCUUGCUUUGUGAAAGUGGAUCUGGGCCCUUUAAAUACCUUUGCCAGCUGGAAUGAUGCUCAAUUUUGUUAGCGGAAAAAGAAUGGAG